AGCAGUAGCCACGGUAAUACGUAGGUGGCAAGCGUUGUCCGGAAUUAUUGGGCGUAAAGGGCUCGCAGGCGGUUUCUUAAGUCUGAUGUGAAAGCCCCCGGCUCAACCGGGGAGGGUCAUUGGAAACUGGGAAACUUGAGUGCAGAAGAGGAGAGUGGAAUUCCACGUGUAGCGGUGAAAUGCGUAGAGAUGUGGAGGAACACCAGUGGCGAGGGCGACUCUCUGGUCUGUAACUGACGCUGAGGAGCGAAAGCGUGGGGAGCGAACAGGAUUAGAUACCCCGGUAGUCCCUGUCUCUUAUAC
rnacentral:rRNA from 1 species